AUGACUUUCAGUGGUGGAAAGUUUACUGAGGAAUGGAAAGCCCAGUUCAUUAAAACAGAAAGGAAGAAACUCCUGAACUACAAGGCUCGGCUGGUGAAGGACCUACAACCCCGAAUUUAUUGCCCCUUUGCUGGGUAUUUUGUGGAAUCCCACCCAUCAGACAAGUACAUUAAGGAAACAAACAUCAAAAAUGACCCAGAUGAACUCAACAAUCUUAUCAAGAAAAAUUCUGAUGUGUUAACAUGGACACCGCGACCUGGAGCCACUCUUGAUCUGGGUAGGAUGCUAAAGGAUCCAACAGACAGCAAAGGCAUCAUUGACCCUCCGGAGGGGACUAAAAUUUACAAGGAUUCCUGGGACUUUGGACCAUAUUUGAAAAUCUUGAAUGCUGCUGUAGGAGAUGAAAUAUUUCAUCAUCCAUCCUGGAUAAAAGAAUACUUCACUUGGGCUGGAUUUAAGGAUUAUAACCUGGUGGUCAGGAUUCGGAGCCGGGUUGACGUCAUCAGACACGUGGUGAAGAAUGGCCUGCUCUGGGAUGACCUGUAUAUAGGAUUCCAAACCCGGCUCCAGCGGGAUCCUGACAUAUACCAUCAUCUGUUUUGGAACCAUUUUCAAAUAAAACUCCCCCUAACACCACCCAACUGGAAGUCCUUCCUAAUAUACUGUGGGGAGAGAGGACCUGAGAUCUCCCAGGGAUACUAAGCUGCAUGAAAAAUUCAAGUAUUCACUGAUGCUGUAUCUUGAACAUGAAGCUUAUACCAAAGAGACUAUGUAUGCCUUACUGACAUCAGCAAUGGAUAAUCAAAUGUUGUGUUUGUGAAAUGUUCACAUAUCUUAUGUUUGUGGAUCACUACAUAGCCAGAGUAUUGAUAUUUUAAUUAUUCUGUCCAUAAUUUUCUGUAAAAGAACCCAUGAAUGCCAUAGGAACAAAUUCUCUAUGGAAAACAAAGACAACAGGGGAUGUAAAUCCAAGUACAGAAGAAGUAGAACAGGAGGAGAAAAGGUUUCCUAGAAGACAAGGAGAAGACAAGGGUUGGGGAGCAGAUGCUGGGUUAGAAGAAGAGAAGAAAGGAGAGAAACAGAUAAAUGAGGGGCUGUAAGAAGAAAAUAAGGAAGAGAAAAAGUUAAAAUGGAACUUAAAAAGAAGGUAAACAUAGACAUUUUGUUCCUUAAUAGAUUGACUCCCCAGAUAGAGUCCAUGAAUAUAACUGAGUAAGAAGCAUUCAUGAGCUGUUUGCAGUUUUUGAAAAAGUUUCGUUGAAGUCAUAUAUUUACCAAAACAAGGCUGCAGAGGCUACCCAAGAUGUAAAAUUUCAUUGGGACUGAAAUAAUUUUGGUUCAGUGAUAAAAAUUUAUUACUUAAUGUAUAUUAUAAAUUCUAACAAAUAAUGGUAUCUUUGAAUAAAAUAUAUGAACACUAGCUAAUGAUCAAGUGAGUCCUAUAGACAAAAAUCUUUCAAUCUCAAUAGAAUAAUCAACAGUCGAGCCUAUAUCUUGAAGAAAUUAAGAAGUCCUCUUCUGAAUACUUGAAAACACUGUUGCAGUGGUUAAAACCCACAACUAAUGUAUCUGUUUCUGUUAAUGUCUGUAGUUUUUGAUGAUUUUCCUGUGAUUAGCACACUAUCUCUAGGAAUAUGUGAUUGUUGACUAUGUUUCUAUUUUAAUAUUGAUGUUUCCAGUACACACAAACCUCUCAUUGAUCUGAACAUCAGAACUGAUUUCCUAAUUAUGUAUACUACCUCUUUAACUCUGAAGAUUAAGAUUUAAGAUUCUCCUUAAAUCUCAUGAUUAUCUACUUCUUACAAAGAUAAUAAUAUGAUAUUUGAUGUCUCUGAUUCACUUCAUACAUUCUACCUAAGUUUUGUGAUUUAUGCUCUAUAGUAAAUUAUUCAAUUAUUACUGAAAAAUAAAUGUAAUGUAUGUCAGUAUAUGAAUAUAUGAUAAAAUGUGUAUGAGGAGCAAAUAAAAGAUUAUUUUAAAAUAUGGAUGUUUUCUUACCACCAAGCCUAUCUUUAUUUUCAUGCUGUCUUCCUAGCUAUCAUCUUCUGAUACCCUGACUCCAGCAAUUCUUUGAUAUUACAAGACCUUUAGUCCAUUGACCCUGCAUGUCCUCACUUUUCUUCUUAGUCAUCUUCGAUUCUUUUCCACUUGUGUCCACAUCACCCUCUUUUGUCAUUUUUCUACCUUACCUGCCCUCUUUCCCUUUCUCAUAUCUCAGAUCUCAUUUCCAUGACUUCCAAACUAUGAGAUCAUUCUUUAUACUUUGCCCUAACAUCCACUGUAUCAACAGAUCCCAUCACCUUUACUUUCAAAAUAUACCCAGAGUAUAACCUCUUUCCACCAUCUCCACUGCUAUCAACAUCAGGAUAAAACAGAAACCCACAGAGGUAAUCUUGGCAUUAGGGGCUGGUUUUCUUUAUGCCAUGGAGAGGGCAGGAGGAGAAGGGGACGACAGAGGAUGAGAUGGUUGGAUGGCAUCACCGACUCAAUGGACAUGGGUUUGGGUGGACUCUGGGAGUUGGUGAUGGACAGGGAGGCCUGGCAUGCUGUGGUUCAUGGGGUCGCAAAGAGUCGGACACGACUGAGUGACUGAACUGAACUGAACUGAACUGAACUGACUGGAUAGGCAUCUGUUCCUGCCAAGAAAGGCGAACAAGCCGAAUGCCUUGAAACAAGCUCAGAGCCAUUCAAGGAGAUGCUGGGAAAGCCAUCUUUAGGGAGGUGACUUGCAGACUGCACAAUCCUAAAGCUACUUUAGAGGGUACCAGGGUAACAGCUAGCAGCUGGGAACUGUUGCUCAUCUCAUAUUUCAGGAGCCCAAGUCUGAAGAAACAAAAGAACAGAAACCACUUCCUUCUCUAGUGCUCCUCUAGUGCCCUCUACAGACAAAGCUUAACUUCAUACUAGCUGUCGUUUUUUGUUCUUGUUUUUGUUUUUGAUUUUAUUUUUUUACUUUACAAUACUGUAUUGGUUUUGCCAUACAUUGACAUGAAUCCACCACAAGUGUACAUGAGUUCCCAACCCCGAACCCCCCUCCCACCACCCUCCCCUUAUCAUCUCUCUGGGUCAUCCCAGUGCACCAGCCCCAAGCAUCCUGUAUCGAACAUAGACUAGCGAUUUGCUUCUUACAUGAUAGUAUACAUGUUUCAAUGCCCUUCUCCCAAAUCAUCCCACCCUCUCCCUCUCCCACAGAGUCCAAAAGACUGUUCUAUACAUCUGUGUCUCUUUUGCUGUCUCGCAUAUAGGGUUAUCAUUACCAUCUUUCUAAAUU
rnacentral:lncRNA from 1 species